AGGCUUAGCGGUGUGGUACCCCGAAUGGGCCCUAAGCCCAGAAAUCUUGUAACAGGACAAAAAUCCAAUUGCUACGGGGGUGUGGGAAGUAGGCUUAGCGGUGUGGAUUGAAGGAAACGUGUUUGGGUAAAAAGUGGGGAUGGGCCUUUCCAGACCUAGGCCCAUCAAUUCCAUUUCCAAAAGCGCACAAGAGGAUUUCAGUAUCCUGCAAACCCAAACAUCUAAUACUGCGAAUGAAAAUGGACUCCGCUGCCGCAUCCGAUUCCGACGGAACACCGGCAUUCCCACCUCUCGCCGCUUGGGAUUCGUGAAACAUCGAACAUAGCACCAGUCGUGAUGGUAUCAUCCUUAGAAAAUCCAACGAAAGAACUAACGAUUCCUUCAGCUUCGACUCUCAAUCGCACUACAACGGCAUGUCGGCUCCACGUGACCUUCAUCGUCGCACCUUGCUUCUGUCCCGCGUUUCUUCGUUCAUUUACGAUCGUCUUGGCGUGAGGAUGAAGAGUGCUCCGGUUCUAGUUCGGCGAUUCAGAAGUAAAAGUUCUUCACGAUCCAUGCUUCCUCUCGCGAGAUGCCUCGGUGUUCCAAUCAAUGGAUCGAACCGCAAUUUGCAGCUUCCGUUCAAACGCGUAUACACAAGGGCGUGCAGAAUCAAAGAAAAAGAAUGAGGAACUCACCGGAUUAGUCUGAUGAUCAACGGGUAAGAAUCUCCUCUUUUAUCUCGGUUUUUCCCUUCUCCUUCUUCUUCUUACUUUGUUGGUCUCUCUUCUCCUUUUUCUUCUUCGCGUAUACCGGAUCGAGACGAUUUAUUGUGUGGUUGUUGUGAAUUAUGAGAUGCUUCGAGAGUGAACCCGAGUGUCGUGUGAAGAAUUGUUAUGAGGUUUUCGUGAGGUUCGUGGAGCUGGAGAUUUACAGUUGUGAAAUUACGGAAAUCUAAAAAAGUGACCCUGUCGAAUGGUGCAAUCAGCUUAUAUACACUUCCAAUCCGUUAAAUUUGUUACCUCCGUUAACUCCUAUUGUGAAGAAGUUAUACGUUUCCAACGCUGUGAAUUGAAGUUUGUUAUUUUAGUUAGGAAAUCGUUACAGUCAGUUGUGAAGUUUUUUCGUUAAUGAUGUAUUGAGUCAUUUUUGGUUUUGCAGGUGAAUUUGGCUGCGUAAUGGACUUGCCUUUCGAUGUCGCGGCUGUUAUUUGCAUAUGCGUUAAGCUCGCCUACGACAAUUUUGUUCCGUCGUUUAGUUGUGUGUACGGCGCAUGUUUUUCUUUGGUUUUCGUUUAGCUGCAGUUUUCGUUUUGGUACUGUGAUAUUUUUUUUGUUAUUGCACUGUAAUGACCUUUCCCAGACUGUACUAGUGUAGACUGGUGUAAAUGUGUUUGUAUUGUCAACGUAUUUCACUUUGCCUAUAACAAAACAAAUUUCAUCCUAAUGGGCCUUGACUAUAAUAAAAAAAAAAGAAAACCAAUUCAUUUUUUU
rnacentral:lncRNA from 1 species